UUUCGGGAAAAAAAAUUAUUAUAAAAAAAUAAAAUCUGAAGUCAAAUUUUUUUUUUGUAGGUACUUAUCCGUUUGAAAGUCUCGCAGAUGAAGUGAACGUUGCAAUUCUCAUCAAAUUGAGCACUUUCUACUACAAAGAUUUCAGUCAAAUACUUGGUGCAAGAGGCGGAGAGCAGGAAGAAAUGAUGAAGGUCCCAUCGAUCCCAAUUGCAAAUCAUUCUCUAUUUUCAAUUAUCUUGGUCGACCAAGCGGCGCAUGUCAGUUUCGUUGCUUAACAGGCGAAGAACGGCAGGUAGCCCAUACCUAUAUUUUACUGAACUGUCCAGAAGUGGAGCCAUACUUCCAGAUUUUUCAAAAUUCAAUGUAUGGACUACCGCCAAAUGAGUUCGACCGUUUGUGCGAUGAACAAUUUGCAGCAUGGUUCAAAACAUAUGUUCACAGUAAUCAUGAUCAAGUUGAAGAGCAAGGAUUGCUAUAUUAUCUGUCAUGGGGUGCACAGUCAAGCAUACGAACUUGGCCAGCAUAUUUCAUAAACGGGUAUAAUUUUCACACUCAAGAAUAUGGAAUGGGAAAAGCCACAAUGAAUAGUGGUGUGUGUGUUCGGUCAUCCAAUUGUGGUAGUUCAAAAGAUGAUUUUUUAUGGCUUGUUGGAUGAAAUCAUCGAGAUAGAGUACCCCGGACCAUUAAUGCGGGUUGUGUUAUUUAAGUGCAUGUGGUUCGACCCCAUCAAAGGAAUGAAGGUGCAUACGAAGUUUAAUUUGGUUGAAAUAAAUCACAAGAAAAGGUAUAAGAAAUAUGAACCAUUUGUGUUGGCACAACAAGCAAUUCAAGUAUAUUAUGCAUCAUAUCCUAGUUUGAAACGUGACAAAGCUGAUUGGUGAGCUGUAUGUAAAA